AUCAUCUCUGACCUUUCCAAAAAGAUCUAUCAGUUCAUUUCUAUUCUCAUCCCAUUCUUCCAUCACAAUAGGCUUUAAUUUGAUCCAUGUCUCCAAUAUACCCUCAACUGUGAGCCCUUCUGCAACCUUUCAAGAAGAACUAUGACAUAAAUCAAGUGAUACUACACUUGUCAAUUCAUAAUAAAAAGGUUAAAUUACACUGACAUUUCUUCAUUUAAGUUAUAAAACGCCUGGUGUAAGCAUGAUAUUACUUAAUCUCAGAACAGGUUAGUGUAAUUUAAGAUGACAAAAAUCAAGGUGAUCUUAGGCUUCAAAUCAAACAAUUUUAAAAAAAUAAUUUUAAACAAAAAAAAUUCAAACCAAAUUAUAUCAAUUUUACAAGUGUAAUUACCCGUGCGAUGCACGUGCCAUGCACGUGAUAAGAUCGAAUAAAAUAUCAAACUGAUAAUUAAAUAAAAACAGAAAAAUAGUAUUACAAAAUUUAUAAAAAACAAUAAUAAAUCUCUAAUAAAAUUUUUAUUAAAAAUUAAAUUAUAAACAAAUUAAAAAAUUGAAAUCACCGGAGCUUUGAACAAUGGGUUCCAAUUGUCCAUCACAGUUGAGAUCCUAGUGGCGAAUGUGCUCAACUACUUCUUCGCAAAUAUCAAAGGUGGAUGGGGAUGGAGGCUUAGCUUUGGUGGCGCAAUGGUCUCUGCACUCAUCAUCACAAUCGGAUCAUUGGUCCUUCCAGACACACCCAACUCCAUGAUCGAGCGUGGAGAGCACGAAAAGGCUACGCAACAACUGAGGAAGGUUCGCGACGUGGAAGACAUUGAUGAAGAGUUCAACGAUCUUAUUGCCGCAAGUGAGAAAUCGAAGAAGGAAAAAAUGAAAAGUAAGAAGAGAUCAUAGCAAUGUGAAAUUUCAUAUAGGACUAGAAUUAUGUAUUCUUAAGGAUUAUUACCUGUUUUGUGGUGACAAUGUAAACUUUUGAGCUUGCAAAUCUUAGUGCAUCAGCGGUACCAGGAUAGAAUAUAUAGGUAUAAAACACAAUCACCAAUAAGCAAGAGUUCAAAAGUCAAAAACACAAUCACGCAAACCCUUUUUCUAAAACCCGAAAAUCAAAUCUCAGUUGUUUUUGUAUGGUGUAUCGAAUAGUACAAAUAUACAUACAUCAUACCUUAAGAUCUUAACAUAAUUCUGGACAGUACUGACAGAUAACUUCUAUUAAAUCUAUACUAUUAGAUCAUCUUGGUGAAUUGAAUGCUAAGUUUAACUCGGCACAUUUAAGACAUUCCCUUAAUUGAACUACCUGUUUGCUCCCAUCCAACCAGAGAAAUCAUUCUGCAACCAAUCAUCUCUGACCUUUCCAAAAAGAUCUAUCAGUUUAUCUCUAUUCUCAUCCCAUUCUUCCAUCACAAUAGGCUUCAAUUUGAUCCAUGUCUCCAAUAUACCCUCAACUGUGAGCCCUUCUGCAACCUUUCAAGAAGAACUAUGACAUAAAUCAAGUGAUACUAUACUUGUCAAUUCAUAAUAAAAAGAUUAAAUUACACUGAUAUUUCUUUAUUUAAGUUAUAAAACGCCUGGUGUAAGCAUGAUAUUACUUAAUCUCAGAACAGGUUAGUGUAAUUUAAGAUGACAAAAAUCAAGGUG
rnacentral:lncRNA from 1 species